AUUACCCAAUCCUGACACAGGGAGGUAGUGACAAGAAAUAACAAUACAGGGCAAUUGUCUUGUAAUUGGAAUGAUGGUGACCUAAACCCUCACCAGAGUAACAAUUGGAGGGCAAGUCUGGUGCCAGCAGCCGCGGUAAUUCCAGCUCCAAUAGCGUAUAUUAAACUUGUUGCAGUUAAAAAGCUCGUAGUUGAAUUUCUGCGUUAUCGAGUUAUUGACUCUUGUCUUUAAUCGAUUUCGCUUUUGGGAUUUAUCCCUUUUUACUUUGAGAAAAUUAGAGUGUUUCAAGCAGACUUUUGUCUUGAAUACUUCAGCAUGGAAUAAUAGAGUAGGACUUUGGUUCUAUUUUGUUGGUUUUUGAACCUUAGUAAUGGUUAAUAGGAACGGUUGGGGGCAUUCGUAUUUA
rnacentral:rRNA from 1 species